UGACAAGGCUUGGUGUGCACCCCCAAGGAAACCAAUAAACUCCUCCUCUUGAGAAUUAUGUCAAUGGAAAAUUCAAAAUUCUGAAAGUACAAGAAAAGGCAAAAUGUCUCAGGAGCAGCCCUUGUUCAGGAGGCAAGACUGCUAACCCUGAGCCCAUGUGUCUGACUUACAAAGAGACCUUAACGAUGGCAACAGAAACCACUGUGUAAUUACCUAACUUCAGAAAAGACUGACACCAACUAGUGCAAGACAUGCGUCCUAGCAAUGCAUCCAAACUUCAAAAGAUUGAUUUGCCUGAGCCGCCCCCGACUGUCCCUCAAAGGUGACUACAAGUUCUCAAAGCUGUAAGAAACUGACCAAAUUUUGGGAGGUAGUCCCUGUAUUCAGGUAAGACUUCUGCAGGAAGUGGAGAGGCACUUUAGAUUCACCUCAAGAGCUGGAAAACGAAUACUAUGACUCACUGACACUUCUUACACAUGUGAAACACACAUCCAUACUACCAAAAAGAAAAAGGAAAAGAAAGGAAAGAAAAGAAAAAAGAAAAGCACUACUUCACAAGCGAAUGGGCAACCUUGGCAAGCAAACCUCCCGAGGUGAACAUCCCCCCUCACGCCCCAAAGAACUUAAUUAAAAGUAGUUCCUCGGUGCAAAACUGCAUUUGUUUUUGAAACUAAAAAACCAGCGGGACUUUGUCUUGCCCGAAUCCAGCCUGAGGACAACAAAUUGGUCAACGGCGGAAGUUGCCUGACGAAAUGCCUGCAACAUGAAAUCCAGUUUUAUGAUCAUAACAAAACCUUCCUUCCGGGACCAGGCCAAAAGAAAA